GUGGGGAAUUUUGGACAAUGGGCGCAAGCCUGAUCCAGCCAUGCCGCGUGCAGGAUGAAGGCCUUCGGGUUGUAAACUGCUUUUGUACGGAACGAAAAGACUCUUUCUAAUAAAGAGAGUUCAUGACGGUACCGUAAGAAUAAGCACCGGCUAACUACGUGCCAGCAGCCGCGGUAAUACGUAGGGUGCAAGCGUUAAUCGGAAUUACUGGGCGUAAAGCGUGCGCAGGCGGUUUUGUAAGACAGGCGUGAAAUCCCCGGGCUCAACCUGGGAAUUGCGCUUGUGACUGCAAGGCUGGAGUGCGGCAGAGGGGGAUGGAAUUCCGCGUGUAGCAGUGAAAUGCGUAGAUAUGCGGAGGAACACCGAUGGCGAAGGCAAUCCCCUGGGACUGCACUGACGCUCAUGCACGAAAGCGUGGGGAGCAAACAGGAUUAGAUACCCGGGUAGUCC
rnacentral:rRNA from 1 species